CGCUUAUAGAGAAAGAUUGUAAGUAAUUUCUGCCCACUGAUGUAGUUAUUUAAGGGCUGCAGUAUAUUGACUGUGCAAAGGUAGCAUAAUCAUUUGUUUUUUAAUUGAGAACUGGAAUGAAAGAAUUGACAAAAUUUUAAUUGUCUCUAAUUAAAAUUUUGAAUUUAGAAUAUGAGUUAAAAUACUUAUAUGAAAUUAAAAGACGAGAAGACCCUAUAGAAUUUAAUUUUAAAGUAUAAAAUUAAGGUAUUUAAAAUGAUUUAAUUAUGUAUUUAAAAAUUUAGUUGGGAGGAUUAAUUAAUUAGAUAAACUUAAUUUAUUUAAGAACAUAGAUAAAUGAAAUUUUGAUUAUUAUUAUAAUUGUAAGAAAAAAUUACCUUAGGGAUAACAGCGUAAUAUUUUUGGAGAGAUCAUAUUGAUAAAAAUGUUUGCGACCUCGAUGUUGAAUUAAGAUAUAAUUUAAUUGUAAGGGAUUAAAUUGUUAGUCUGUUCGACUAUUAAAAUCUUACA
rnacentral:rRNA from 1 species